AUCUAGCUACCGAGUCGCAAAUACGACGAAACGCGCGUCCUUGAU
rfam:Schistosoma haematobium scaffold454_38, whole genome shotgun sequence.